UACAGAGGUCUCAACCGUUGUUCGGAUUCAUUGGGCGUAAAGGGUGCGUAGGCGGUCGCGCAAGUCGGAUGUGAAAUCUCAGGGCUCAACCCUGAAACUGCAUUCGAUACUGCGUGGCUAGAGUGCUGGAGAGGAGACUGGAAUUUACGGUGUAGCAGUGAAAUGCGUAGAUAUCGUAAGGAAGACCAGUGGCGAAGGCGGGUCUCUGGACAGUUCCUGACACUGAGGCACGAAGGCCAGGGGAGCAAACGGG
rnacentral:rRNA from 1 species